rnacentral:lncRNA from 1 species
UACAAAAAGAGAGCUUCAAAACUGCUCAAUCAAAAGAAAGAUUUAACUCCUGUGAGAUGAAAGCACACAUCACAAAGAAAAUUCUCAGAUUGCUUCUGUCUAGAUUUUAUGUGAAGAUAUUUCCUUUUCUACCAUAGGCCGCAAAGCGCUCCAAAUGUCUACUUGCAGAUUCUACAAAAAGAGUGUUUCCAAACUGCUUAAUCAAAAGGAAGUUUCAACUCUUUGAGAUGAACGCACACAUCACAAAGAAGUUUCUCAGAAUUCUUCUGUCUAGUUUUUAUGUGAUGAUAUUUCCUUUUCCACC